GAUGAAGAACGCAGUGAAAUGCGAUAAGUAAUGUGAAUUGCAGAAUUCAGUGAAUCAUCGAAUCUUUGAACGCACCUUGCGCCCUUUGGCCAUUCCGAAGGGCAUGCCUGUUUGAGUAUCAUGAACAUCUCAACUCUUUAUGGUUUUCCAUGAUGAGCUUGGACUCUGGGGGUUUUGCUGGCUCACAGUCGGCUCCUCUAAAAUGAAUCAGCUUACCAGUGUUUGGUGGGUAUCAUGGGUGUGAUAACCAUCUACGCUUGUGGUUUUUCCACCAGGUAACCUUCAGCAGUGGAGGUUCGCUGGAGCUCAUAGAUGGCUCUCCUCAGUGAGGACAGCCCUUUGAAUGUUUGAUCUCAAAUCAGGUAGGACUACCCGCUGAACUUAAGCAUAUCAAUAAGCGGAGGA
rnacentral:misc_RNA from 1 species